rnacentral:lncRNA from 1 species
CGGGUGCAGUUGGUGCCGGGUAUGAUUGCGGUGAGAUCCGACGGUCAGGAAGGUUUUUAGAGUUAUGAUCGGACUCCUGUCUCGAUUUUGAACAUAGGUUUUGGCCUUUAAAAGGCCUGUGGCCAAAUAGAGAAGAACGGUGGUGUGCCCAGUCAAUAGUGAACCGAGACGAGCAGCAGUCGUGAGCAGAGCCCGACAGCAGGAGCAGCAGACCCU